UGGGGAAUAUUGGACAAUGGACCAAAAGUCUGAUCCAGCAAUUCUGUGUGCACGAUGACGUUUUUCGGAAUGUAAAGUGCUUUCAGUUGGGAAGAAAAAAAUGACGGUACCAACAGAAGAAGUGACGGCUAAAUACGUGCCAGCAGCCGCGGUAAUACGUAUGUCACAAGCGUUAUCCGGAUUUAUUGGGCGUAAAGCGCGUCUAGGCGGUUAUGUAAGUCUGAUGUGAAAAUGCAGGGCUCAACUCUGUAUUGCGUUGGAAACUGCAUGACUAGAGUACUGGAGAGGUAAGCGGAACUACAAGUGUAGAGGUGAAAUUCGUAGAUAUUUGUAGGAAUGCCGAUGGGGAAGCCAGCUUACUGGACAGAUACUGACGCUAAAGCGCGAAAGCGUGGGUAGCAAACAGGAUUAGAUACCCUGGUAGUCCACGCCGUAAACGAUGAUUACUAGGUGUUGGGGGUCGAACCUCAGCGCCCAAGCUAACGCGAUAAGUAAUCCGCCUGGGGAGUACGUACGCAAGUAUG
rnacentral:rRNA from 1 species